rnacentral:rRNA from 1 species
UACGUAGGGUGCGAGCGUUAAUCGGAAUUACUGGGCGUAAAGAGUGCGUAGGCGGUUCUUUGUGUCCGCUGUGAAAGCCCCGGGCUUAACCUGGGAAUGGCAGUGGAAACUAGAGAACUUGAAUCUGGCAGAGGGGGGUGGAAUGGCCACGUGUAGCAGUGAAAUGCGUAGAUAUGUGGCGGAACACCGAUGGCGAAGGCAGCCCCCUGGGCUGAGAUUGACGCUCAGGCACGAAAGCGUGGGGAGCGAAACGG